AUCUCACUGAAGAUUCCUGUUUACCUGAGGUCUUCUAAGAUGUGGCUGAGGAAAAUCACAACACCAGCUGCAUGUAAGAAACUCCUGGAAAGAAGAACAAAGCCAUCUGUUCUCCAUGUCCACGAAGGCAUGCACAAGAACUAAUGGGUGUACCCUACAUCAAGAAAGAUUCAGGUUAGGAACAGCGUCUAAUGGAGAGGAGAACAAAGCAGGUGAACAGACUGCAAGGGGCCUGAGUGUUCUGCGUCACAGGAGAUCUUCAAGGACAGAUAAACAGAAGACAAGGCACCUGCUUGUUCACAGGAGACUGGCUGAAGAGCACACUCAUUGCUGUUUUCCCAGAAGAUAGAAAAAUGUGUCAGGAAAUCACUGCAUGCAAAGGAGUUGGAGGAUUUGUGAGUGCAAGACCCCUGCAGAAAAUGGUGUGCAGCAGAGUAGGAAGUGCAUGGUGAAACAGAGGUACUGCUCAAGUUGACAAAAGGAGCAACACCAAAAGCUCACUUGACUGUACUGCCAGCUGAUCAGCUCUUCUGCAUGCGGCCAGGGCAAAUCGGCUUGGGCUCUCAGACUUGUAUGCCUUGUGUUGGCAGCUGGUUAAACUGUAAGAAAGAGCUGUACUAAUGGAAGGGGUUGCUUUACAUCUGGACAUCUGGAUGCUUUAAGACCUAUGGUGUGCACAUCCAUUCAUACACUGGGAGGUUUUCCAGAACUCUGACACAAUGGAGCAGUUGUGGAAGACAGCAGGUAGGAGAUGGAACAAAAGCACAGGUCAGGCUGGGGACAGAAAUUAUGCUUUUUAUUCAGACAUUGCAGGGCAUGCACAGGACAUCAGGCAUGUUGCUAAAACAUGGCUGCAGCACCAAAUGCUGCCUGCUGCCCUAACACACAGGGGCUGUGAAUAACUCAUGGCUUGUUGUGGUCCUGGAGUACAAAAACACCACUACUUUUCUUUAAUUACAAAUAGUUAAGGUAUAUCCUUCCAUUCUACCAGGCAGAUGUCCUGAAGCACCAUGGCAGCAUCAGAGCAGGUGCUAUGUGAGAAGGCAUGUUGUGAAUGAAGCUACAAGAACGUGCACUUACAUUUACACCGGGUUUAUUUACAAGCACACCUCACCUGGGACAGUGACAUCUGAAGGGCUAGCCUGCUCCAUCCCCAUGGUCCCAGCAGGCAGCAUGUCUCUACACCAGAGCAGAAGACAGCAUGGUGCUGUGUUCAGACUGUG
rnacentral:lncRNA from 7 species